rnacentral:rRNA from 1 species
GAGCGGAAAGGCCCUUCGGGGUACUCGAGCGGCGAACGGGUGAGUAACACGUGAGCAACCUGCCCCUAGCUCUGGGAUAGCUCCGGGAAACCGGGAUUAAUACCAGAUACGACCACUUUAGACAUCUUUUGUGGUGGAAAGGAUUCCGGCUAGGGAUGGGCUCGCGGCCUAUCAGCUUGUUGGUGGGGUAACGGCCUACCAAGGCGACGACGGGUAGCCGGCCUGAGAGGGCGACCGGCCACACUGGGACUGAGACACGGCCCAGACUCCUACGGGAGGCAGCAGUGGGGAAUAUUGCGCAAUGGGCGAAAGCCUGACGCAGCGACGCCGCGUGCGGGAUGAAGGCCUUCGGGUUGUAAACCGCUUUCAGCAGGGACGAAGCGAAAGUGGCGGUACCUGCAGAAGAAGCGCCGGCUAACUACGUGCCAGCAGCCGCGGUAAU